rnacentral:rRNA from 1 species
UUUGGAGUGAUAAAAAGUAACAAGGUCUCCGUUGGUGAACCAGCGGAGGGAUCAUUA